AAUGAACGCUGGCGGUAUGCCUAACACAUGCAAGUCGAACGACAGCACAGUAAGAUCUUGCUCUUACGGGUGGCGAGUGGCGGACGGGUAAGGAAUACAUCGGAAUCUACUUUUUCGUGGGGGAUAACGUAGGAAAACUUACGCUAAUACCUCAUACGACCUACGGGUGGAAUCAAGGGAUCUUGGGGCCUUUCCCGAUUGUAUGAGUCGAUGUCGGAUUAGCUAGUUGGCGGGGUAAAGACCCACCAUGGCGACGAUCCGUAGCUGGUCUGAGAGGAUGAUCAGCCACACUGGAACUGAGACACGGUCCAGACUCCUACGGGAGGCAGCAGUGGGGAAUAUUCGACAAUGGGCGAAAGCCUGAUCCAGCCAUACCGCGUGGGUGAAGAAGGCCUUCGGGUUGUAAAGCCCUGUUGUUGGGAAAGAAAAGCAGUAGGUUAAUACCUCGAUGUUCUGACGGUACCCAAAGAAUAAGCACCGGCUAACUUCGUG
rnacentral:rRNA from 1 species